rnacentral:rRNA from 1 species
CCUACGGGUGGCAGCAGUGAGGAAUAUUGGUCAAUGGACGCAAGUCUGAACCAGCCAAGUAGCGUGCAGGAUGACGGCCCUCCGGGUUGUAAACUGCUUUUAGUUGGGAAUAAAAGGGGGCUCGUGAGCCCCGUAUUGUAUGUACCAUCAGAAAAAGGGCCGGCUAAUUCCGUGCCAGCCGCCGGGGUAAUACGUAGGGAGCGAGCGUUGUCCGGAAUUACUGGGUGGAAAGGGAGCGUAGGCGGGGAUGAAGGUUGGGUGGUAAAUCCAGCGGCUCAACUGGGAGUCGCAGUCAAGACUGUGGAUCUUGAGUGAAGUAGAGGCAGGCGGAAUUCCUAGUGUAGCGGUGAAAUGCGUAGAUAUUAGGAAGAACACCAGUGGCGAAGGCGGCCUGCUGGGCUUUUACUGACGCUGAGGCUCGAAAGUGUGGGGAGCAAACAGGAUUAGAUACCCCUGUAGUC